AGAGUUUGAUCAUGGCUCAGAACGAACGCUGGCGGCGUGGAUAAGACAUGCAAGUCGGACGAGAUUUUCCGCUGUAGCAAUACGGUGGAAAGUCUAGUGGCGAACGGGUGCUUAACACGUGGGCAAUCUGUCUUAAAGUGGGGGAUAGCUCGGCGAAAGCCGAAUUAAUACCGCAUGUGAUUAGAGUGGACAUCCAUUCAAAAUCAAAGCCGGGGCAACCUGGCGCUUUUUGAGGAGCCCGCGGCCUAUCAGCUUGUUGGUGAGGUAACGGCUCACCAAGGCUUUGACGGGUAGCUGGUCUGAGAGGACGACCAGCCACACUGGGACUGAGACACGGCCCAGACACCUACGGGUGGCAGCAGUCGAGAAUUUUUCUCAAUGGGGGAAACCCUGAAGGAGCGACGCCGCGUGGAGGAUGAAGGUCUUCGGAUUGUAAACUCCUGUCAUUGGGGAACAAGGUGCAUACGUUAACUGCGUGUGCAUUGAUAGUACCCGAAGAGGAAGAGACGGCUAACUCUGUGCCAGCAGCCGCGGUAAUACAGAGGUCUCAAGCGUUGUUCGGAUUCAUUGGGCGUAAAGGGUGCGUAGGCGGCGCGGUAAGUCGGGUGUGAAAUCUCGGAGCUUAACUCCGAAACUGCAUUCGAUACUGCCGUGCUUGAGGACUGGAGAGGAGACUGGAAUUUACGGUGUAGCGGUGAAAUGCGUAGAUAUCGUAAGGAAGACCAGUGGCGAAGGCGGGUCUCUGGACAGUUCCUGACGCUGAGGCACGAAGGCCAGGGGAGCAAACGGGAUUAGAUACCCCCGUAGUCC
rnacentral:rRNA from 1 species